ACCCACAGCGUCGUCCUUCGCCUCGCCGAUAACCUCUCUCCGCGCUGCCAUCAAUCCCGUGAUGGCCACCGUCGCUGCCGUGCAGCCGUCGUCGUCAGAUCCUCCUCCACCGCCCCAACGCCGGUUGUGUCGUCCUGCCCGCAACACCUGCGCACCCUCCGCCGCUUGAUAUUCCUGCGAGUUUUAUUAAGAAAAAUACUUUUUUUCCUGCUGUUGUUACACUUGCUGUGUGGAGAGAAAACUUUGUCAGAAGCUAAAUAUUGUUGUUAAUGUUCUUGGUCAAUCUUUUUUCAGGCAUUACAGUUUGCAACUGAGCUAUGGCAGAAAUUGUGAUGGCUCCAUGUUAUUUGCACCAACUGAUUAACUGAACUAUGCUAUACACAUGGGAGACUUUGGUUAAAGGAUUAGAAAUCAGAGUAAUUGGAAAAAGAUACAUGUCCAAUGCUAAUGCAAAGGCUUGUAGAAAGAUUAUGUAGAGUGUUUACCCGAAAUAAUCUCUAGACACUACAACACGAUCAUGUACUCUGAGAGCCUUCUAGCUACUUCAGACUGUGACAGUGCUUACCUCUAAGGUAUUGUUUCCCUUGCACUCUGAAUUAACAUGACAAAUUCUAUAAUAAAUUAUAUGCAGAUAUCAAUUUGAUUUACCUCCGUACAUGCUGCAAUAGAAAAGUGCAGGAGCUGAAAUAUUUCUUCGCCAGGUCAAGCAGAAUAGGAACCUAAACGGUCAGGUAUAACCCUAAGGUUCUUUAUUAUGUUUCACCCGUGAGUGGUCAUGUGGUGGUUUGUGUGCAUCUAACUACUGCAUCGACUAACAGUUCAACAUGCCCUAUUGAUCCGGUGCUAAUCCCCAAGAGCUACUUGAUUAAGCUCACUACACAAAACACCGUGGAUAUGACUUCAUUUGGUGAAUAUUAAUGUAUAUACAUUAUGUUUCGUGAUAUGUACAUAUAGACAUAUCAAGUAAUGGUUUUGUUGUUUAUUUGUAGUUUUGUUCCAUACUCCACAAAAGUAGAAAAUCAAUGAUUAAGCUCAAUUAUGAUUUAUUCCUAGCAGCUUGGUUUAUGUGACUUGGGACUGCUAAACAGUACACAGCAUAUUUUGUUUAUAGUGCUCUAGAUAAUAUGGAGGCUCUAGACAAUGGUGUCUUGGAGCUCCUUUUGGUUAAACAACAUAUCCACACAAACAAGGUACAUUAUGCUUGCUCUCAGGAAAAAAAAAAGGGUUCAUUUUAUUCAGUGAUUAUGCUUUUCCUCUAGAAAUCAUUAGCUGUAGUGUUAGAUUCACAAUUUCAUUCAUUUGCAAGAUAUUCAAUGGAAUUUCUAUGUGAGUAAAUUGUUGUGCAUAUGAAGGUGCAUUUGACAAAGGUCAAGGGGAAUUGGCGAACUAAUCAGUACGACAACUGUUGGUCAACUAAUUAUACUGUCUUGUGUUUAGUUUUAACAAUUCCAUUGUUUCAGGCUACCCAAACUUCAGACAGAGGCAGAGGAGCAGGACCACAUGAACUCCUUAAUAUAGAUGAUCAACAUGUCUCCAUAUCUAUCCAGGAUGUUGGUCAGAGGAGAUUUUGUUCUUUUAUUUACCAUUGAUUGGCCUCUAGUUGAUGUAUCUAAUUUCAUAUACUCCGUAAGCACAACAUGAAGGUUCGUGGUACCUAAGUGGUCCUUAUGUGUACAUGGAUCAAUUUGCUGAUGAUAAAAAGAUUUUAGGCUGCUAUUAAAAAAAGUGUAACAGGUACCCAAAUCUCACACCUUAUUAUGACAUAGCUAGCAGAAAAUAGCUUGAACUGAUAUUCCAGUAUCACACAAGUAUAAAACCUCAUCUAAUAUAAAGAUCUACGGUUGCCACCUUUUCUUUUAUCACGGAUUGGCCCAUUGGAUUGGUUCUGAGUCAUUCGCUACCUGUAACCUGUUGACCUCAAUAAAAGUUUUAGCAGCUGAACUAUAUAUCAUAACUGAUUUUAAUCUGAAUGUUUUCUAAAUGCAUCCUUGCUUGAUGGAUCUCUUUAGCAUAAUCUGGUGAUCGAUACGAUGCAUGCACUUCAUAAGUACAGUGCAAGUUGUGUUAGUUUUUCAAUGUUGCUAGCUAGCUUGAGGGAAUGGUUUGUUUCAAAACAAACGAGUUAGUUGUAUCUUCAGUUCUUCUCAUUCUUCAUAUUCUGCACAAUUGUUCGUUAAAAUCUCUCUAUGUUCAAUCAGAUAUUGGCUUAUCGAUUCACUGUCAGUAAGCUUGGGAUUACAUUGUCUAAGUAUCAUUAAGUGUAAGUUUUUUUUUUUUAAAAAAGAAAGCUAUUCUAAGAGCAGGUUGCAAUAUAUGCUACUUGGAGUUACAAGUUAGCUGUUCAUUUUCUAGAAAUAUUGCAGGGUUUUUGUAUUUUCUAACAAAGCUGAUUGACCAUGUUGUGCUGUUUUGUCAGGUUCAAAUGAUCAUAAUAUAUAUCUGCAACUCUAAUUUAUUUAAAACUUCUAGGAGAAGUUGAGGAUCACACAUUCACAUAAAAGUGGCCAUUUCUUAUACAAUUGUAAGCACAAUGUUUUUAUGACCAAUAGCAUCGGAUGAUCAAAGUGCCUUUUAUCUCCAUUUUCCACAUUCUCUUGAACCUUGAGGUUUUUUUUUUCUGUCUAAUCCUUAAUUCAUACAACGUAGGACCUUGUAUUAUUUUAUCUUAUGCUUUUGUAUUUCAAUGAAACAUGGCUUGAAUAUAUGUUUAUUUAUUCUUUA